rnacentral:rRNA from 1 species
GAUGAACGCUGGCGGCGUGCCUAAUACAUGCAAGUCGAGCGAAUGGAUUAAGAGCUUGCUCUUAUGAAGUUAGCGGCGGACGGGUGAGUAACACGUGGGUAACCUGCCCAUAAGACUGGGAUAACUCCGGGAAACCGGGGCUAAUACCGGACAACAUUUUGAAACGCCUGGUUCGAAAUUGAAAGGCGGCUUCGGCUGUUACUUCUGGAUGGUCUCGCAUCGCAUUAGCCAGUUGGUGUGGUAACGGCUCACCAAGGCAACGAUGCGUAGCCGACCUGAGAGGGUGAUCGGCCGCACUGGGACUGAGACACGGCCCAGACUCCUACGGGAGGCAGCAGUAGGGAAUCUUCCGCAAUGGACGAAGGUCUGACGGAGCAACGCCGCGUGAGUGAUGAAGGCUUUCGGGUCGUAAAACUCUGUUGUUAGGGAAGAACAAGUGCUAGUUGAAUAAGCUGACACCUUGACGGUACCUAACCAGAAAGCCACGGCUAACUACGUGCCAGCAGCCGCCGUAA